rnacentral:rRNA from 1 species
UACGUAGGGUGCGAGCGUUGUCCGGAAUUAUUGGGCGUAAAGAGCUCGUAGGCGGCUUGUCACGUCGGAUGUGAAAGCCCGGGGCUUAACUCCGGGUCUGCAUUCGAUACGGGCAGGCUAGAGUUCGGUAGGGGAGAUCGGAAUUCCUGGUGUAGCGGUGAAAUGCGCAGAUAUCAGGAGGAACACCGGUGGCGAAGGCGGCUCUCUGGGCCUUACCUGACGCUGAGGAGCGAAAGCGUGGGUAGCGGACAGG